rnacentral:rRNA from 1 species
ACGCUGGCGGCGUGCCUAAUACAUGCAAGUGGGACGCAAGGAAACACACUGUGCUUGCACACCGUGUUUUCUUGAGUCGCGAACGGGUGAGUAACGCGUAGGUAACCUGCCUAUUAGCGGGGGAUAACUAUUGGAAACGAUAGCUAAUACCGCAUAAUAUUAAUUAUUGCAUGAUAAUUGAUUGAAAGAUGCAAGCGCAUCACUAGUAGAUGGACCUGCGUUGUAUUAGCUAGUUGGUAAGGUAAGAGCUUACCAAGGCGACGAUACAUAGCCGACCUGAGAGGGUGAUCGGCCACACUGGGACUGAGACACGGCCCAGACUCCUACGGGAGGCAGCAGUAGGGAAUCUUCGGCAAUGGACGAAAGUCUGACCGAGCAACGCCGCGUGAGUGAAGAAGGUUUUCGGAUCGUAAAGCUCUGUUGUAAGUCAAGAACGUGUGUGAGAGUGGAAAGUUCACACAGUGACGGUAGCUUACCAGAAAGGGACGGCUAACUACGUGCCAGCAGCCGCGGUAAUACGUAGGUCCCGAGCGUUGUCCGGAUUUAUUGGGCGUAAAGGGAGCGCAGGCGGUCAGGAAAGUCUGGAGUAAGAGGCUAUGGCUCAACCAUAGUGUGCUCUGGAAACUGUCUGACUUGAGUGCAGAAGGGGAGAGUGGAAUUCCAUGUGUAGCGGUGAAAUGCGUAGAUAUAUGGAGGAACACCAGUGGCGAAAGCGGCUCUCUGGUCUGUCACUGACGCUGAGGCUCGAAAGCGUGGGUAGCGAACAGGAUUAGAUACCCUGGUAGUCCACGCCGUAAACGAUGAGUGCUAGGUGUUAGGCCCUUUCCGGGGCUUAGUGCCGGAGCUAACGCAAUAAGCACUCCGCCUGGGGAGUACGACCGCAAGGUUGAAACUCAAAGGGAAUUGACGGGGGCCC